rnacentral:sRNA from 1 species
AGCCUCUAUGUACCUGAACUCUUUCUGGU